rnacentral:rRNA from 1 species
GAUGAACGCUGGCUACAGGCUUAACACAUGCAAGUCGAGGGGAAACGACGGGGUAGCUUGCUUCCCCGGGCGUCGACCGGCGCACGGGUGAGUAACGCGUAUCCAACCUGCCUCUGACUGAGGGAUAACCCGUCGAAAGUCGGCCUAAUACCUCAUGGCAUCGUCUGCGGGCAUCCAACGACGAUUAAAGAUUUCAUCGGUCAGGGAUGGGGAUGCGUCUGAUUAGCUUGUUGGCGGGGUAACGGCCCACCAAGGCUACGAUCAGUAGGGGUUCUGAGAGGAAGGUCCCCCAGAAUGGAGCUGAGACACGGACCAAACUCGUACGGGAGGCAGCAGUGAGGAAGAUUGGGCAAUGGGCGGGAGCCUGAACCAGCCAAGUAGCGUGCAGGAUGACGGCCCUAUGGGUUGUAAACUGCUUGUAUGCGGGGAUAAAGUGAGGGACGUGUCCUUCAUUGCAGGUACCGCAUGAAUAAGGACCGGCUAAUUCCGUG